rnacentral:lncRNA from 1 species
AAUAUAUUAGAAUAAUUACAAAUAUAUCUUCAACAAAUCUCAAUCAAGUUCUAAUUUAAUCCUAGUUGAAAUCCUAAUGGACUGCAAUCAAAUCCUAGACAAAUCCUAAAUCUUAAACUAAAUUCUAAAUCAAAUCCAAGAUAAAUCUAAAAUCCUAAAUCAAAUCAUAGAUAAAUCCUAAAUCCUAAAUUAAAUCCUCAAUCAAACCUUAGUUUUUAAAUCAAACCCUAAAUCAAAUCUUAAACAAACUCUAAAACCUAAAUCAAAUCUUAAAUCAAAUACUAGAUUCUUAAUUAAAUCCUAAAUCAAAUCUUAGAUCAAAUUUUAGAUCCUAAACCAAAUCCUAAAUAAAUCUUAAAUCCUAAAUCUUAAAGCAAAUCCUAGAUCAAAUCCUAAACAAAUCUUGAACUUUAAAUCAAAUCCUAAAUAAAUCCUAAAUCCUAAACCAAAUCCUACACAAAUCAUAAAAUCUAAAUCAAAACUUAAACAAAUCCUAAAUCAAAUCCUAAAUAAAUCCUAAAUCUUAAACCAAAUCCUAAACAAAUCCUAAAUCCUAAACUAAAUCCUAAAUCAAAUAUUAAUCCUACUUAAUCUAAGUUUAAUUCAAUUUAGAAUCUAAAUAUCUAUCAAUUAUAUCAUUGACCUUGCUUUAAAAUUUAUAUUUCUUUUAAAAACUUAGCAAGAAACAAGAAUAAAAAAUUUAAAGAUAAUUGCACUUAAAAAAUAGAAGAAAAAUCCUAAAAUCUACUCAAGUAUUACCCAGCCUUUUACACCAAUCAAAAUGUUGAAUUUUUAGUACCAAUAUCUCUUCAUUAAAUCAUUCAAUUGUCUUUAAAUUUCAUAUUUGUAUAGAAAAUCAAGUCUAUUGCCUUUAAACACAAAUUUUACCUAAAUCUAAUUAGGAAAUUACUAAAAAUCUUAGAAAACCUAAUUGCAUUUCAAAGUUCAAUUUUUGAAACCUCAACCUACUUGAAAUUCAAUAGCCUUUAAUUCAACUAUUUAAUCAAGCUCAAACUUAUAGCAUAUACUUUAAACAACUAUUUUCAUAAGUCAUCAAAAUUUGAACUAUAGAUCUACUACCAACCUCACGAAAUUCUCCAAAACACAACAUCUUUUUUAUUUUACAAAUUUCAGAGUCAUCCAAAAAAAUUGUGACUUUGAGAAGCUCUUACAAAGUCAUUACACACUUAAUUUCCUCAAAACCAAUAAUUAUAAAAACUCUAUCAAGUUUUUUCUCAAAAUUUACUCUUUGAUUUGCCAAAAAACUCUCGAAUUGUCAUCGAUUCCUAAUUUUGUGCCUCAAGGUCUGAUUUCGAUCCAUGUUGAUAACCAAUCCUUUUUGGAUAACAAAUUUUGUUAUUUUGAAUUAAAUUUUGUUCCAAUCAACUUCUAAAUUCUUCUUACAUAUGCAUAUAUUCUUUAUUUUUCUAAUCUAUCUUAUUUUGCCUUAUUUAUGGCCUUAUAAAAUAAGUAGAAGCCUAUUUUAUAAAAAUAUAAUAU